UCCUGGUUAACCCAGGCAGUCUCAUUAGAGUUCCCACCUUAAAUGUUGGCAACUAAUGAUAAGGGUUGCGCUCGUUGCGGGACUUAACCCAACACCUCACGGCACGAGCUGACGACAGCCAUGCAGCACCUGUUCAGCGGCUCCGAAGAGAAUAUCCAUUUCUGGAUACGUCCACUGUAUGUCAAGACUGGGUAAGGUUCUUCGCGUUGCAUCGAAUUAAACCACAUGCUCCACUGCUUGUGCGGGUCCCCGUCAAUUCUUUUGAGUUUCACCCUUGCGAGCGUACUCCCCAGGCGGUAUACUUAUCGCGUUAGCUACGGCACAACUAGGGUUGAGUCCAGUUACACCAAGUAUACAUCGUUUACGGCAAGGACUAC
rnacentral:misc_RNA from 1 species